rnacentral:rRNA from 1 species
UGGGGGAUAUUGCACAAUGGGGGAAACCCUGAUGCAGCGACGCCGCGUGAGUGAAGAAGUAUUUCGGUAUGUAAAGCUCUAUCAGCAGGGACGAAAAUGACGGUACCUGAGUAAGAAGCCCCGGCUAACUACGUGCCAGCAGCCGCGGUAAUACGUAGGGGGCAAGCGUUAUCCGGAUUUACUGGGUGUAAAGGGAGCGUAGACGGUUAUGCAAGUCUGGAGUGAAAGGCGGGGGCUCAACCCCCGGACUGCUCUGGAAACUGUAAAACUAGAGUGCAGGAGGGGUAAGUGGAAUUCCUAGUGUAGCGGUGAAAUGCGUAGAUAUUAGGAGGAACACCAGUGGCGAAGGCGGCUUACUGGACUGUAACUGACGUUGAGGCUCGAAAGCGUGGGGAGCAAACAGG